rnacentral:rRNA from 1 species
AGUGAACGCUGGCGGCGUGCUUAACACAUGCAAGUCGAACGAGAACGGGUUAUAGCUUGCUAUAACUGUCAGCUAAGUGGCGCACGGGUGAGUAAUAUAUAGGUAACGUGCCCUAGAGAGGGGGAUAACAGUUGGAAACGAUUGCUAACACCCCAUAUGCCUUUAAGACUUAAGUCUGCAAGGGAAAUAUUUAUAGCUCUAGGAUCGGCCUGUACAGUAUCAGUUAGUUGGUGAGGUAAUGGCUCACCAAGACAAUGACGCUUAACUGGUUUGAGAGGAUGAUCAGUCACACUGGAACUGAGACACGGUCCAGACUCCUACGGGAGGCAGCAGUGGGGAAUAUUGCACAAUGGACGAAAGUCUGAUGCAGCAACGCCGCGUGGAGGAUGACACAUUUCGGUGCGUAAACUCCUUUUAUAUAGGAAGAUAAUGACGGUACUAUAUGAAUAAGCACCGGCUAACUCCGUGCCAGCA